rnacentral:lncRNA from 1 species
GUUGAUGGUUGUACCGGUACAGCCAUCGGGCUUGUACCGGUACAGAGCCGCAGACCCAGCAACCCGAGCCUCGGGUUUGCAAUUUCGUCGGCCUUGUACCGGUACAAGAGCCCGUGUACCGGUACAAGGAGGCAGUUUUGUGCAGAAUGAAACUGCAGGGGGUUUUGUGCGUUUGUAGCCUUCUAUUAGUAACCCCACGCCCCUUAGGGCUUCCCUGAGCUUCACAGCAGCAGAAGAAGAGGUAGGGGAGUUCUCCACACCCUCUCUUUCUACUUCUUUGAUCUUGGUUGGUUUAAUUUAUAAUUUAAGCCUCUCUUUUUCCCUCUUUUUGCUUCUUGGUGUUCUCCC